UGGAUCGAUGAUGAGAUGGCGGCAUAUAUAAGUCAAGGACGAUGACUACAUAUGGUUAGAACUCUGAGGUCCAG
rnacentral:snoRNA from 1 species